GACAGAGGGUGCAAACGUUGCUCGGAAUCACUGGGCGUAAAGGGCGCGUAGGCGGGCAUGUAAGUCGGGCGUGAAAUCCCCAGGCUCAACCUGGGAACUGCACUCGAAACUGCGUUUCUUGAGUAUCGGAGAGGAAAGCGGAAUUCCUGGUGUAGAGGUGAAAUUCGUAGAUAUCAGGAGGAACACCAGUGGCGAAGGCGGCUUUCUGGACGGUAACUGACGCUGAGGCGCGAAAGCGUGGGGAGCAAACAGG
rnacentral:rRNA from 1 species